CCUACGGGGGGCUGCAGUAGGGAAUCUUCCGCAAUGGACGAAAGUCUGACGGAGCAACGCCGCGUGAGCGAAGAAGGUCUUCGGAUCGUAAAGCUCUGUUGUUAGGGAAGAACAAGUACGGGAGGAAAUGACCGUACCUUGACGGUACCUGACGAGGAAGCCACGGCUAACUACGGGCCAGCAGCCGCGGUAAUACGUAGUUGGCAAGCGUUGUCCGGCAUUAUUGGGCGUAACGCGCGCGCAGGCGGUGUUUUAAGUCUGAGGUGAAAUCUUGCGGCUCAACCGCAAGCGGUCAUUGGAAACUGGGGGACGUGAGGGCAGAAGAGGGAAGCGGAAUGCCACGUGGAGCGGUGAAAUGCGUAGAGAUGUGGAGGAACACCAGUGGCGAAGGCGGCUUGCUGGUCUGUAACUGACGCUGAGGCGCGAAAGCGUGGGGAGCAAGCAGGAUUAGAUACCCUAGUAGUC
rnacentral:rRNA from 1 species